UGUGUGUACGUAUACGAUCAGAAGAAGUAGCCAGGAGAGCUCAAACCCUAGUUCAGCAAAUCCUCCAAAUCGAAGCUCAAAUCAAGCCCGAAUCGUCUGCAUGAUUACAAAUUCGUGAUCGCCUAGUCGUGGGGAUCAUAAGUUGACUCUAAACAAGCUAGGUGGGAGCUUGAAAAGGAACGGGUCAAACGGAUCAUGGAUGCGAAGAAUGUUUGCGCGGACGCGAGGGUAAAACGGCUUGUGGAAUUUACGUGGCUAUGAAUCAGCAAAUUAUUAAGGCAAGGCAUUAAAACGGGUCAAUACUUUGACCCGCGCCAGGUACAUUUUGGAUGCCGGAAGACGAUCAAGCUCGACGAAGGACCGAACACAAUAUAGAUACAUGCUUCCGCACUUUAACACUUUGCAAAUUUUAAACAACGAAUUCAACCACGUUAUGUAGAAUAACUUAUGAAUUGUAAAAGUUUUAAUAAAUUCGUAUUU
rnacentral:lncRNA from 1 species